GUGUCAGCAGCCGCGGUAAGACAGAGGGUGCAAACGUUGUUCGGAAUUACUGGGCGUAAAGCGCGUGUAGGCGGCUUGGCAAGUCGGGUGUGAAAGCCCUGGGCUCAACCUAGGAAGUGCACUCGAAACUGCUUCGCUUGAGUAUCGGAGAGGAAAGCGGAAUUCUCGGUGUAGAGGUGAAAUUCGUAGAUAUCGAGAGGAACACCGGUGGCGAAGGCGGCUUUCUGGACGGUUACUGACGCUGAGACGCGAAAGCGUGGGGAGCAAACAGGAUUAGAUACCCUGGUAGUCC
rnacentral:rRNA from 1 species